rnacentral:rRNA from 1 species
CACUGUGAACCGUGGCUUCGGCCCAAACUUGAAGUCUAGAAUGUAACAUAUCAUAACAAAAUACAACUUUUAACAACGGAUCUCUUGGCUCUCGCAUCGAUGAAGAACGCAGCGAAAUGCGAUAAGUAAUGUGAAUUGCAGAAUUCAGUGAAUCAUCGAAUCUUUGAACGCACCUUGCGCCCUCUGGUAUUCCGGAGGGCAUGCCUGUUUGAGUGUCAUGAACACCUCACCCCCUCGGGUUUCCGAUCGGGUGGACUUGGGCGCUGCCAGUGAAAUGGCUCGCCUUAAACGCAUUAGCGGUUGUUGACGUAAUAAGUUUCGUCUUGUCGACCGCUCCUAAUCUCCUUCGGGAUGUCUCUGGACACUUCAUGAUCUGACCUCAAAUCAGGUAGGACUACCCGCUGAACUUAAGCAUAUCA